rnacentral:misc_RNA from 1 species
GAACUGCGAUAAGUAAUGUGAAUUGCAGAAUUCAGUGAAUCAUCGAGUCUUUGAACGCACAUUGCGCCCCCUGGCAUUCCGGGGGGCAUGCCUGUCCGAGCGUCAUUGCUGCCCUUCAAGCCCGGCUUGUGUGUUGGGUCGUCGUCCCCUCCGGGGGACGGGCCCGAAAGGCAGCGGCGGCACCGCGUCCGGUCCUCGAGCGUAUGGGGCUUUGUCACCCGCUCGAUAAGGACCGGCCGGGCGCCAGCCGGCGUCUCCAACCUUUUUUUCUCAGGUGACCUCGGAUCAGGUAGGGAUACCCGCUGAACUUAAGC